GCGAGAGUGGCGGAACUGGCAGACGCGCAGGAUUUAGGAUCCUGUACCGAAAGGUGUGUGGGUUCAAGUCCCACCUCUCGCACCA
rnacentral:tRNA from 1 species